rnacentral:rRNA from 1 species
GACGAAGGAUGCAAGCGUUAUCCGGAUUCAUUGGGUUUAAAGGGUGCGUAGGCGGUCGCGCAAGUCGGAUGUGAAAUCUCAGGGCUCAACCCUGAAACUGCAUUCGAUACUGCGUGGCUAGAGUGCUGGAGAGGAGACUGGAAUUUACGGUGUAGCAGUGAAAUGCGUAGAUAUCGUAAGGAAGACCAGUGGCGAAGGCGAGUCUCUGGACAGCAACUGACGCUGAGGCACGAAGGCCAGGGGAGCAAACGGG